rnacentral:rRNA from 1 species
UGGGGAAUAUUGCACAAUGGGGGAAACCCUGAUGCAGCGACGCCGCGUGAGCGAAGAAGGCUUUCGGGUCGUAAAGCUCUGUCCUUAGGGAAGAAAAUGACGGUACCUAAGGAGGAAGCCCCGGCUAACUACGUGCCAGCAGCCGCGGUAAUACGUAGGGGGCGAGCGUUAUCCGGAAUUAUUGGGCGUAAAGGGUUCGCAGGUGGACCAAUAAGUCAGGUGUGAAAGGUAGUGGCUCAACCACUGCAAGCACCUGAAACUGUAGGUCUUGAGUGCAGGAGAGGAAAGUGGAAUUCCUAGUGUAGCGGUGAAAUGCGUAGAUAUUAGGAGGAACACCAGUGGCGAAGGCGACUUUCUGGACUGUAACUGACACUGAGGAACGAAAGCGUGGGGAGCAAAC